GGCUGGGUAGCUCAGUUGGUCAGAGCGCACGACUCAUAAUCGUGAGGUCGCGGGUUCGAGCCCCGCCCCAGCUACCA
rnacentral:tRNA from 1 species